GAGGUGUUUGGCCAGGCAGCCAGGUGUUUGUCAUCUGAAACCCUAAUGUGGCCAGUUAGAGCCCAGACGAGGCGGCCAGACCAUAGGGGCCAAGCCCCGUUGGGGCUGUGGGUGAAGCUGGGGCCCCACCUCUAGGCCGGGCUCCUCAGGUCGGAGGUGUUUGUGGUCUGGGUCCCUGCGGAGGGGGGCGAGCCUCCCCUCCACCUGAGGCCAGGGUCCUCGCCAGUCCUCCCACUGCCCCACAGGCCUGCACCCCAGCACUCCACAGGAAGAGCCCCCCAGCUCCUGCCCCUUGGCAGCUGUGGCGGUAGGACCGUGGUGACCCACCCAGGGGGCCGUGAGCCCAGUUUCCUAGGGCCGAGAGCCACACACGCUGUGCUCAGAAACAGUGCCAAACGCAGACAGGCUGCAGGCCUUUCCCGCUCUUCUGGAGGACAGGCCUCACCAACAGCCCGUGGUACAGAGGGAUCCCGCUUAGUGGAUGGAAAAUGGCCUAUUUUAUUACCUGCUUACCUCCCCCAGGUGGCUGUACGGGGUCCGAGUGUCCAUGGCUGAGGGCCUUGGACCUAGCUGGCAGACAGCAUUUGGACAUGACCUUGGACCAGGGGCCCUGCCCCUCCCUGGGAAGGACCUGGGUGAGAGUGCAGGCCGCUGAGCCGAGGACCCCUUGGGCGGCCUGUGCAGCAUCUACCUGCGGCUACACUCAGAGGCAGCCUGGGGACCUUGAGCCUCCCCCCUCGUUCCCACCACUGGCCUCAGGGCCUUGGUUACUGCUCGAGUUUCCAAAGGUCACACUCAACAGGAAGGAGGUGCAGGUGACACACCCUUGACUUGGCUUUCCAGCUGCAGAGCUAGUUUUAGAAGAAGGGCCGAAGGGGGCUGUCCCAUCCAUCCCUACUGUGAGCUGUCUUCCUCACGCCUCCCUUUGUCCUUGUACCGACAAGGAGAAGACACCCAGCACCUCCACCCUGUGCCGCUGGGCCUGCAGAGCCCAGUUGUGGUCUGUCCAGUGCCACGGGGCCCACCGGCCACACUGUUUAUGGGCCCAGGAGGUCAUGCAGAUGACCCCGACCCCCAUAACUCGGAGACCUGGGCCUUGCUCACGCCGGUGCCUCGGUUUCCCCAUCGGCUAAACGGGGAUGGUCACGUUUCCCCAGCCUACCUCAUGGAGCUGUUCUGAGGAUACAUACAAAAGCACUUUGUCCCUGGGAGGAAGGUGAUGCAGAAGCCAAAGCCGUCUGUGACUGAGCCAGUGCAGCCGUGAGCAUGUGGAGGGCGGUGGGGGCAUGUGAGGAACACGGGCCCCAGACCAUGACCCACGGGACAGGACCAGUGGUCCUUAGGACUCAAAGGUUAAGCCACCAGCCACCUUCGGGUAAGGCCAGGCUCCUCGUGGGCCUGGUGGCAUGGUGUGGGCAAGCUCUGCCCUCGCUGAGGUCCCGUGGAGGUGAGCUCCAGCCCUGUAUCUGGGCCACUGCUUCUCCCUCCUCGUGUUGGUCCCCUGGGUCCCCAUCUCCUCAGGGCAUGCAGGCCGGUGUCCCGAGUCCGUGUCACAGCUGCAGAUCCGGAAGGAGAGGGACUCUGGGCCCAGAACCAAAGGUCUCUGUGCAGCGGCAGGCAGAUCAGAGCAGCCAGGGCCAGCACUGCUGCCCUGUCCUCGCUCCCAGAUAUGAAGACCUGACUGGCCUUUGUCCCAGAACAGGUUCCUCAUGACAAGACCGGGCCACUUGCUCCCAAAGGCCAGUUGCCUGACCCCUACACCUGUUCCUUGACCCCCUCCCGAGACCCGUCCUGUCCUCCAGUGGAGAGGAAGAUAAGUCCUUGGCAGGGGCCUGAGGACUGGGCUUGGGGGUCCCUCCCCCAGGGGAGGCUAAGGGGUGCCGCCGUGCGUUCCUGCAGACCCCCCGUCCAGUUCUUUGUGCAUUGUUUGGUUUCUAGGAUGUACGUGUUGCUAGGUUUUGUUUUGUUUUUUUUUUUAAUGGAAAACAGGAUUAAUGUAAAUAGCGUUUUUGGAAAACAGAUUCUAAUCUCACGUUAUGUGACCACGUGGAGUAUUUUAAGGUGCUGAUGCGACACUAAUAAACGCGGGGAGCACUCCCAGGCCCUCCCUCGCCUGCUGUGUGAUUCCUCUCGAGCAGC
ensembl:lncRNA